UACGUAGGGGGCAAGCGUUGUCCGGAAUUAUUGGGCGUAAAGAGCGUGUAGGCGGCCAGAUAAGUCCGCUGUGAAAUCUCGAGGCUCAACUUCGAGCUGUCGGUGGAAACUAUCUGGCUAGAGUCCGGAAGAGGAGAAUGGAAUUCCUGGUGUAGCGGUGAAAUGCGCAGAUAUCAGGAAGAACACCCGUGGCGAAGGCAGCUCGCUGGGACGGUACUGACGCUGAGACGCGAAAGCGUGGGGAGCAAACAGG
rnacentral:rRNA from 1 species